rnacentral:rRNA from 1 species
GGGUUGUGAGGUUAAGCGACUAAGCGUACACGGUGGAUGCCCUGGCAGUCAGAGGCGAUGAAGGACGUGCUAAUCUGCGAAAAGCGUCGGUAAGGUGAUAUGAACCGUUACAGCCGGCGAUGUCCGAAUGGGGAAACCCAGUGCAAUUCGUUGCACUAUCGUUAACUGAAUACAUAGGUUAACGAGGCGAACCGGGGGAACUGAAACAUCUAAGUACCCCGAGGAAAAGAAAUCAACCGAGAUUCCCCCAGUAGCGGCGAGCGAACGGGGAGCAGCCCAGAGUCUGAAUCAGCUUGUGUGUUAGUGGAACGGUCUGGAAAGUCCGACGGUACAGGGUGAUAGUCCCGUACACCAAAAUGCACAGGCUGUGAACUCGAAGAGUAGGGCGGGACACGUGGUAUCCUGUCUGAAUAUGGGGGGACCAUCCUCCAAGGCUAAAUACUCCUGACUGACCGAUAGUGAACCAGUACCGUGAGGGAAAGGCGAAAAGAACCCCGGCGAGGGGAGUGAAAAAGAACCUGAAACCGUGUACGUACAAGCAGUGGGAGCACCUUCGGGUGUGACUGCGUACCUUUUGUAUAAUGGGUCAGCGACUUAUAUUCUGUAGCAAGGUUAACCGUAUAGGGGAGCCGCAGGGAAACCGAGUCUUAACUGGGCGUUAAGUUGCAGGGUAUAGACCCGAAACCCGGUGAUCUAGCCAUGGGCAGGUUGAAGGUUGGGUAACACUAACUGGAGGACCGAACCGACUAAUGUUGAAAAAUUAGCGGAUGACUUGUGGCUGGGGGUGAAAGGCCAAUCAAACCGGGAGAUAGCUGGUUCUCCCCGAAAGCUAUUUAGGUAGCGCCUCGUGAACUCAUCUUCGGGGGUAGAGCACUGUUUCGGCUAGGGGGUCAUCCCGACUUACCAACCCGAUGCAAACUACGAAUACCGAAGAAUGUUAUCACGGGAGACACACGGCGGGUGCUAACGUCCGUCGUGAAGAGGGAAACAACCCAGACCGCCAGCUAAGGUCCCAAAGUCAUGGUUAAGUGGGAAACGAUGUGGGAAGGCACAGACAGCCAGGAUGUUGGCUUAGAAGCAGCCAUCAUUUAAAGAAAGCGUAAUAGCUCACUGGUCGAGUCGGCCUGCGCGGAAGAUGUAACGGGGCUAAACCAUGCACCGAAGCUGCGGCAGCGACACUAUGUGUUGUUGGGUAGGGGAGCGUUCUGUAAGCCUGCGAAGGUGACCUGUGAGGGUUGCUGGAGGUAUCAGAAGUGCGAAUGCUGACAUAAGUAACGAUAAAGCGGGUGAAAAGCCCGCUCGCCGGAAGACCAAGGGUUCCUGUCCAACGUUAAUCGGGGCAGGGUGAGUCGACCCCUAAGGCGAGGCCGAAAGGCGUAGUCGAUGGGAAACAGGUUAAUAUUCCUGUACUUGGUGUUACUGCGAAGGGGGGACGGAGAAGGCUAUGUUAGCCGGGCGACGGUUGUCCCGGUUUAAGCAUGUAGGCUGGUUGUCCAGGCAAAUCCGGAUAAUCAAGGCUGAGGUGUGAUGACGAGGCACUACGGUGCUGAAGUAACAAAUGCCCUGCUUCCAGGAAAAGCCUCUAAGCAUCAGGUAACAUCAAAUCGUACCCCAAACCGACACAGGUGGUCAGGUAGAGAAUACCAAGGCGCUUGAGAGAACUCGGGUGAAGGAACUAGGCAAAAUGGUGCCGUAACUUCGGGAGAAGGCACGCUGGUGUGUAGGUGAAGUCCCUGCGGAUGGAGCUGAGACCAGUCGAAGAUACCAGCUGGCUGCAACUGUUUAUUAAAAACACAGCACUGUGCAAACACGAAAGUGGACGUAUACGGUGUGACGCCUGCCCGGUGCCGGAAGGUUAAUUGAUGGGGUUAUCCGUAAGGAGAAGCUCUUGAUCGAAGCCCCGGUAAACGGCGGCCGUAACUAUAACGGUCCUAAGGUAGCGAAAUUCCUUGUCGGGUAAGUUCCGACCUGCACGAAUGGCGUAAUGAUGGCCAGGCUGUCUCCACCCGAGACUCAGUGAAAUUGAACUCGCUGUGAAGAUGCAGUGUACCCGCGGCAAGACGGAAAGACCCCGUGAACCUUUACUAUAGCUUGACACUGAACAUUGAGCCUUGAUGUGUAGGAUAGGUGGGAGGCUUUGAAGCGUGGACGCCAGUCUGCGUGGAGCCAACCUUGAAAUACCACCCUUUAAUGUUUGAUGUUCUAACGUUGGCCCCUUACCGGGGUUGCGGACAGUGUCUGGUGGGUAGUUUGACUGGGGCGGUCUCCUCCCAAAGCGUAACGGAGGAGCACGAAGGUUAGCUAAUCCUGGUCGGACAUCAGGAGGUUAGUGCAAUGGCAUAAGCUAGCUUGACUGCGAGCGUGACGGCGCGAGCAGGUGCGAAAGCAGGUCAUAGUGAUCCGGUGGUUCUGAAUGGAAGGGCCAUCGCUCAACGGAUAAAAGGUACUCCGGGGAUAACAGGCUGAUACCGCCCAAGAGUUCAUAUCGACGGCGGUGUUUGGCACCUCGAUGUCGGCUCAUCACAUCCUGGGGCUGAAGUAGGUCCCAAGGGUAUGGCUGUUCGCCAUUUAAAGUGGUACGCGAGCUGGGUUUAGAACGUCGUGAGACAGUUCGGUCCCUAUCUGCCGUGGGCGCUGGAGAAUUGAGGGGGGCUGCUCCUAGUACGAGAGGACCGGAGUGGACGCAUCACUGGUGUUCGGGUUGUCAUGCCAAUGGCACUGCCCGGUAGCUAAAUGCGGAAGAGAUAAGUGCUGAAAGCAUCUAAGCACGAAACUUGCCCCGAGAUGAGUUCUCCCUGAGACUUUAAGUCUCCUGAAGGAACGUU